GCCGGGAUGGCGGAACUGGCAGACGCGCUAGGUUGAGGGCCUAGUCCCUGGCAACGGGGGUCCGGGUUCGAAUCCCGGUCCCGGCACCA
rnacentral:tRNA from 1 species